AUAAUUACCUGGCAGGGGAGAUGCCAUGAUCACAAAGGUGACUCUCCCAGGGCGAGGUUCACACAUUGCACUUGGAUAUGCUGAGCCCUGCGAUUUCCCCAAAUGUAGGAAACUCACCAGCCUGAUUUGUGCUAGUGGGGGACUGUGUUCACGCUCUUCCUUA